rnacentral:rRNA from 1 species
UACGUAGGGGGCAAGCGUUGUCCGGAAUUAUUGGGCGUAAAGAGCGUGUAGGCGGUCCGGUAAGUCGGCUGUGAAAGUCCAGGGCUCAACCCUGGGAUGCCGGUCGAUACUGCCGGACUAGAGUUCGGAAGAGGCGAGUGGAAUUCCCGGUGUAGCGGUGAAAUGCGCAGAUAUCGGGAGGAACACCUAUGGCGAAGGCAGCUCGCUGGGACGUUACUGACGCUGAGACGCGAAAGCUAGGGGAGCAAACAGG